UACAAAAAACAAUUUCUACAA
rnacentral:piRNA from 1 species